rfam:Auricularia subglabra TFB-10046 SS5 ATRDEscaffold_118_Cont2640, whole genome shotgun sequence.
GGCCGCCUGGCGAAAUGGCAUCGCGUCUGACUACGAAUCAGGAGAUUGCAGGUUCGAUCCCUGCGGUGGUCA